rnacentral:rRNA from 1 species
GACGAACGCUGGCGGCGUGCCUAAUACAUGCAAGUAGAACGCACAGUUUAUACCGUAGCUUGCUACACCAUAGACUGUGAGUUGCGAACGGGUGAGUAACGCGUAGGUAACCUGCCUGGUAGCGGGGGAUAACUAUUGGAAACGAUAGCUAAUACCGCAUAAUAUUGAUUAUUGCAUGAUAAUUGAUUGAAAGAUGCUAUUGCAUCACUACCAGAUGGACCUGCGUUGUAUUAGCUAGUAGGUGAGGUAACGGCUCACCUAGGCGACGAUACAUAGCCGACCUGAGAGGGUGAUCGGCCACACUGGGACUGAGACACGGCCCAGACUCCUACGGGAGGCAGCAGUAGGGAAUCUUCGGCAAUGGACGAAAGUCUGACCGAGCAACGCCGCGUGAGUGAAGAAGGUUUUCGGAUCGUAAAGCUCUGUUGUAAGAGAAGAACGGGUGUGAGAGUGGAAAGUUCACACUGUGACGGUAUCCUACCAGAAAGGGACGGCUAACUACGUG